CCUUUGGGUUGUACAGCUCUUUUGUACGGGAAGAUAAUGACGUGCCCUACUGAAUAAGGUCCGGCUACCUCCGUGCCAGCAGCCGCGGUACUACGACCGGACCUAGCGUCAGUUCGGAAUUACUGGGCGUAAAGCGCGCGUAGGCCGUUGAGUUAGCUUAAUUGUGAAAUCCCAAAGCUAUAACUUUGGAACUGCAAUUAAAACUGCUCGACUACAGUUUGAUAGAGGAAAGCGGAAUACAUAGUGUAGAGGUGAAAUACGUAGAUAUUAUGUAGAACACCAGUUGCGAAGGCGGCUUUCUGGGUUCAACACUGACGCUGAGGCGCGAAAGUAUGGGUAGCAAAGAGGAUUAGAUACCCUCGUAGUCCAUACCAUAAACGAUGAUUGCUAGAUGUUGGAAAUUUAUUUUCAGUAUCGCAGCUAACGCAUUAAGCAAUCCGCCUGAGGAGUACGACCGCAAGGUUAAAACUCAAAUGAAUUGACGGGGACCCGCACAAGCGGUGGAGCAUGUGGUAUAAUUCGAAGAUACGCGCAGAACCUUACCAACCCUUGACAUGUCUGUCGCGAGUUUAGGAAACUAAACUUUUCGGUUCGGCCGGACAGAACACAGGUGCUGCAUGGCUGUCGUCAGCUCGUGUCGUGAGAUG
rnacentral:rRNA from 1 species